AUACGUAGGUGACAAGCGUUAUCCGGAUUUACUGGGCGUAAAGAGCUCGUAGGUGGUUUGUCGCGUCGUCUGUGAAAUUCCGGGGCUUAACUCCGGGCGUGCAGGCGAUACGGGCAUAACUUGAGUACUGUAGGGGAGACUGGAAUUCCUGGUGUAGCGGUGAAAUGCGCAGAUAUCAGGAGGAACACCGGUGGCGAAGGCGGGUCUCUGGGCAGUAACUGACGCUGAGGAGCGAAAGCAUGGGUAGCGAACAGGAUUAGAUGCCCUGGUAGUCCAUGCCGUAAACGGUGGGCGCUAGGUGUAGGGGUCUUCCACGACUUCUGUGCCGUAGCUAACGCAUUAAGCGCCCCGCCUGGGGAGUACGGCCGCAAGGCUAAAACUCAAAUGAAUUGACGGGG
rnacentral:rRNA from 1 species